CAGAUAAAAAUGUAAUGUACAAGUUGACUUUUAAUUUCCACUGAAUGCGUGAUAUUUUCUUGUGCGUUCUGACUGUUAUAACUUGUUGAACUUCCCCCUGCCCGGCCCUCCACCAUGUUGUCCCGAACAUCUAAAAAAUAUUUGCUUCUCGCAUUUCUCUCUUUGACAGUUCUCUACCUAUUCAUUCAGAUUUCGAACAAGCAAGAAACAAGUUGUCGUGAUGUCAGUUCUUCGAAGAAAACGUCUUUAAUAGGCAGCGACGGCAAGCUGUAUGAAUAU